rnacentral:lncRNA from 1 species
UUUACGGUCUGCGAACAUGAAUACAUGAAUAUGAGCCCCCCCCCUAAUUAUCGAUCUUCCUAUGGCUAUGCAGACUGAAAUAUUUAUCACUUAUUUACUGAGACCGAGGGAAACAGUGUGUUUUGUGGACCCGAGACUGUCACGAUGUUUCCCGAGGAGAAGCCAAGCCGGUCGGCUUUCCCAAAGUCUCAGUAAAUAAGUAGUUUUUGUUUGCUAUUGUAUUCUACUUACUAGGCUUUGUUUCGCUUUAAGAGAAUUCGCUCCAGUUAUAAAGUGAAGUCAUCGGCGAAGGUAAAGUAUUUCAACUUCCGAAAAUCAAAAGUAAUUCAGGUGCAAAACGCUAUAUUCUUGACUGCAACCAAUCUACUCCCGUCACAUCAGACAAUGUUCAUUGAUAAAAUCACAAAAUAGACUUGACAUGGUAU